UAUUAUAUUACUUUACAAAGGGACGAAGGACAUCCUUUGCAUUAGGAUGCUCCCACUCCACUACUGUCUCCCACCAUUCUUCUGGAUAUACAAAGAUUUCUUUAAGAGAAGGGGGAGGAGAUGGCUGGCCAUUUUCAAGCAACGGAAGACAAAUUGGCAUCCUCUUCAGCUUCUCACAACGCACUACACUAAUAUGUUCUAGAGAAUUGCAAAUCAGUUUUGCACUGCAAAUGCAUUUCAGUUCUGGUAAUUCAUACAAUUCCAGAGUUAUUAACUUUGGGAGAAUGACUUCCGUGAUGCAAUUGGAGGUGCUUCUUUCUUCAUCUGUUGUUCCUAUUAUCUCCUCCAUUUUCCUACAGCACCUCACAUCAAUCUUUUCCAGGUUUACGAGGUUUGGCAGCAACACAAGCGGGAACAACUUCUUUAUACUUUUACACUUGUAACAAUAAAACUCUUUAAGACCAGAAAACAUACCAUUAUAUGGUGGCAAUCGUGGUGGAGCAGAGCAGAACCAAGAAGAUGAAACCAGCUCCAUGUUAUGGCAUUCCCGAAUGUUGAUGCGCUCCAGUUCAGUUGCAUUCUCUAAUGACAAAACAUCACAUAAACUUCUUGCAUCGAUGCAUUCACAAAUCAGUCCUUGAAUGCCAUUUAAGAACUUGACCUGAAAAUCUCUAUCUCCGUUGAUACUCAAAUUACCCAACCCUACUGUUUUACUUGGAAACAUUUCAAUGCAUUGCUCGAAAUAUCUACGCACCUCUCCUACUAAAAUCUUGCAUGUGCUUAAUGAUAGGAUCCCAUCCCGAGAUCUGAGAUACUCCAUUAAGUCAGGGAGACCUUCGAAACGGCAUUCCAAAGUUUCCAAAUUUCUCAAGGAUCCUACUUCCUUUCCUUUAACUGUCAUCGCAUCAUCUUCGCGGCAAUAAAUCUUCUAGUACAAAGACUUGCAGGUGAGAGAGUUUUGGUAAUAUCCCACUAGGAAACUCCUUUUCACCACAUCCAUUCAUUCUAAGAUACAUCAGGUUGGUUAGGCAUUCCAUUCCUUGCGGCAUCGUUUCAAGUCGAGUACGAGAGAGAUCCAACCUCUUCAGUGCCCUGAGCUUCUUUAAUGAUGGAACAUAUCUUAAGUUGUCACACUUACGAAGCAAUAACGCAGUGAGACUCACCAAAUCAGAGACAGAGUCUGGCAAGUUUUCAAUACCUGUCGAAGACAGAUCGAGGACCUUGAGCCCAUGCAAUUGCUUGAAAAAUGAAUCCGCAACAAAUCUCAACCCUUUAUUAUCACAUAGAAAUAGAGUUGAUAGAUAGCGACACCUUGGUGAAUAGCUGGAAGGAAUUUCUUCGAUCUCGUUUCUCAUUAGCGAAACCAUCGUCAAAUUCUCCGUCCACUGCUCUGCAUCUGGCAACUCUUUUAAUUGCGCACCUGCUUUAACCAUGACUUGAUAUUCGUCUUGCAGUAUAUGGAUGGCCAUGUCCCUAAUCAAGUCAUGCAUCUUGACACGUCUAAUAUCAUUAUAACCCAUUUGAGCACUUUCCAAUAGGCAGACAUAUUCAAGUCUAUUAAGCAUUGUGUGGCCCUCGUCAAAUGCAUCUCCCCUGCUCCUCUUUACUUUAAUUAUCCCCUCUAAGAUCAAAUAACCUAUCAACUCCUCCCUUUCAAUCUUAUCAUCUUCAGGAAAUAAUGCACAGUACAACAGACAUUGUUGUAGUGUUACAUCACGUAACCGAUUAUAACUAACCCUUAACACUUGGAAUACCUUCUUAUCCCUAAAUUCUGAUUCGCUCAAUUUCUUCAAUGUAUUUCUCCACUCAUGUAGGUCAUCCACUCCCCUCAAGCUUCCUGCCACUGUAAUAAUUCCCAAUGGCAAACCAGCACAUUCCUUUGCAACAGCUUUCGCAAUUCGUUCCACUUCUGUGAAAGCACAUGCCACGUCCAAGUUUCUCCAUGAACAAAGUCCAAGCUUCUCCCUCAAAAGUGGCUUACCUUGAUUUUGCGGUGGCAAGCCAUCUAUGACAAACUUUCUGAUCGAGUUGUCAUAAUCAGCUUGCAUCCUUCCAACUUCUCAGGAAUUCCCACUUCAUGUAGCUCAAAAUUAUUCCACAAAUCAUCUAGAAUGAGAAUCCAUUUUUGUUUCUUCAUUAGUUCUUCUGACAAUUUGGCAGCUCUAUGCAGAUCAUCAUCUUCGCUUGAAAGGUCUAGACGAAGACGUUUAGCAAUAAUAUUCUGCAAUCUAUUAAUGCUGAAAUCUUGAGACACAGUCACCCACCAAACAUGAUCACAAAUAUCUGGUCUUUGUAGAAGCUCAUUAUGGAUAUGUUGCAGUAUUGUUGUUUUACCAACUCCCCCCAUCCCAUAAAUGCCAAUGGUUGGGACUUCAUCAUCCAUUAACAAAGACCAUAUCACCUUCUUAUUCUCUUCAAAUGCUCGACCCACUGGCUUUAUAGAGCUAGCAGGUAAUGGAACUCCUCUAGUCUCACUUGUGUUGUAUUUAAGGCUUAUAGAAGAUCUAGCUCCAGCGUCAGGCCGCACUGAUCUUCCACUAUUCUCCAUAUCCUCCUCCACUGGUUCUGUCCUCACUCUAACCAUGUUCUGCACAUCAUUCAUAAUGACAUCAUUGUUUACUGAUGGAGCAAAUAGGUGACACAAAGGAUCUGUUGGUUGGGAUGAAUCUCCUCGAGGCUCAUCAGCUUGAUUAAUUGAUGGCCUCUCACAAGAGCUACCUCUCUCCAGAUGCUGCACUUGUUCUGUUCUCGGUAUAGUUUCAGAUCCAUCAUGCAGACGCUCCACAUCCUCAUCUUCCUGCAUUAAAUACGUAGAGAUUUCAUUCAGCUGAACCCAAGUGCCAUCAACAAAUUGAUCCACUAAAUCUGUUCCUCUAUUCUCAUAAGCAUCAACUCUGAGUCUCCAAGGAGAGACACUUCUGUCAACAUGCUGAAACGAUCCUUCACCAGUGUAUUCCAUGCCUUGAACUCCCGCUUGCAUCCUUCCAGCAUUGUCUUGUUCUUGUGGACAGGUGGAAAUGGCAUAAUCAUUAACAUUGCUUGAACUUGCUAUGCUUUUAUGUCUUUUGUUGCCACCACGCAUAGCUAGAAAGGCUGCUCCUUGAACUUCUUUAGGCACCUCACCACAAAUGCCAACACCAUGCCCUCUCUCUCCUGAUAAAUGCCAUUUUAUCCUCGAAAUGGAAGUACCAUUGGCAAAUAAAUGCCCACAAAACUUACACUUCAUGCUUCCAUCAUUCAUAUCUUCAACUUCUUUCCAAAACGGAUCAUCUGAUCUACCCAUUUUGUCCUACAGAUGAAAAGGGUCAAAAUAUUGAAUAAAAAUUAAUGGAAGUACAUUAAUUGGAAAAGGAAGGUUGAAACUAAAAUAAUAGGUUACAAACAGCGAAGAAACUAAUAAGAAAAAACAAUGAAUUCAAGGUUAACUUGGGGUCAAUUUGGUAUGAACUGCAUAAGGCGUGGAUUGCUACAACUGAGAAAGAUCAAAUUAUUUAUUUUUGGAAACUGUUGAUGAUCCUAUCUCCAAAGUUUCUCAUUGAAAUUUCUACAACUUGUGUUUUCCUUGAAAGAUUCAAACCAGAGGUACAUGUGAAAAACAAAAUGAAGAAGAUGGAUUAUAAAUAAUUUACCUGGAUUCAAGUUGUUCUUCAAGUGCUGGUUCGCUGAAGUAGUAUUCAGGAAGAAAAACAAGAACAGAGAAGAAUAUACGGUUUAAAAAUAAGAAGGAAGUUGCAAGAUGUUGAGCUCCAGAUGAUUCGAUUCAAUCAGAAAAGGAAGCACUGAUCAUCAGAAAGUUUAAGAAAUUUGAUGAGGGAAAUCGGGAAAUCAAUGGUAUAAUGAGAUGAGAUUUGGAAGAGAGCGUUACAGUAGCUAAGAUUAUUGUAUUGUUUGAGAAGAAGGAAGUUGCUAGGAAGGAAGCCACAAACUUUACCUACCAGAGAUUAUAUUAUAAGAUAUGGCAAGUGGCUGUACACCUCAAAUUUGUUUUUCUUUUGUCUAGCGCUGCAUAUAAUUAAAAACUUCAACAAAAGAAUCAGAAGCUAAUUGCUGUCUGAGUUAACGUGUGGACCCACCCCAUUGUUGAAACUUUGGAAAAAGCUGGCCUGAAAAUGUAAGAGCCUGAAGCUUAGCUUCAAGAGCUGUAAAGCAUUGACCGUCAUUAUCUGAUCCACUCCAACUUCCAUUCCCUAAAAAUUUCACACCUUAGCACAAACAAAAGGCCGUUUUAUAGAUAACUUAAGAAAUUUUGCCCACGCUUAGUUUCGAGGUGUCAGCAACGUUCUUCUGAGCAUAAAUUCUUCUUUAAAACAAAAGGCGUAUAUGGUUAUUGUAAGGCAUAAUCCCGCAAAGUGUUCCAGUUUUUUUGCCUCUAUGACAUGGAUAUGACAUCUCAUUAGUGAAAAAGCUAAAUGCUGUUUAUUGCACGCUGCUAGUUGGGAUAUACAGAACUCAGUUCAACCCAGCAAGUCGCUGCAUCAGACUUAAAACUCCAUAGCAGUCAGCACAAUCUAUGAAGAUAAAAUUGAAAAAAAACAAUCAAUGUAAACACAUGAAAAUGAGAAAGAAUAGCAUAUUUCCGCUUUUGAAAAAUCAUUCAUCACUUUUAAACACGCAAAUGAUUAUCCCUAUUAAGAAAAUUCAACGACAACAAUAUACUCAAGAGCAGGGGCGGAACUAGGGGAGAUAGGCAGGCGCCCGGCCCCUGCAAAAUAUUUUGAAGGUUUGUAUUUUUAAUGUUUAAAUAUAAUAUAAUAUAUUUUUAAUUUAAAUAGAUAAGAUUUUUAAUAAUAAAUUAUAUUUUAAGUUUUGGCCUUCCUGUUAUAUCAUUUCAGCUCCGCACCUGUCCGAGAGCAAUAUUACAGUAAGGAAAUUAAAUUAAUACAGAUAAAUAUAUGAUCCAAAAAUAAUUAAAGAAUCAAUCCAUUUAAUCGAAAAAAACAUGACUGAAUCCAUAAACUACAUGCCCUUCUUUUUCUAAAGGAGGCAGCCCCACUUUUUCAUCACGUCGCCAUGGUCCCCGUGUCCCACAUGUUUUUAAGUGCGUUCAGGCUGGUUCAAAGGGAAUUUCACGACUUGUUUGCGAGAGCUUCAACUCUACAUUGAAAUGUUUUUUCUUAAUCUGUGAGAGCUUCAUAAUAAGCUUAUUAAAAUAAAUUAUUAUAAUGAAAUUAAAAACAAAAAUGCUUAAAAAAAAACAGAGAGACGCCGUGUUUUCUCUAUUGCUACAAGGUAAAAGUCUAAGCAUAUUUAUUUUUUUUAUUUUUUUAUUUUUUAAUAAUAUUACUGUUAUAUCUACCGCCUAGAAAUCAAGAACGCUAGUUUCAUUUAAAAGAUUCUGAAGUUCAUAUUUAGAUAAAUUAGCAGAAAGGACGGAAACACAACAAAUCAUACCCAGAGAAUCAAAAGCCAGAAACAAGCUACCUCAAUUCCUGCUCCACCUGGCUAAGAAAUGCAGCAUGCCCACUUGGAAUUACACAUCAUCCAAAUUCCAUGGCAAAUAAUUGGUUGGAAUUGUUUCCUGUGGAGUCAUUUCAAAAUUUGAAAAUAAAAACAGAAAAUAGAUCCAGCAAAUGAUUCCAAAUAUCUUAUAAAAUAACAAUGAAAUAUGUUUUUUUAUUUACUGUAAGGAAAGAUAUUAAUGGAAAAAAUAAAAAAAAAAUCAAUUUAAAAAAUUAUAAUAAGUCAAAAUCUAGAUUUAAAAUCUAACUAGUAUCAGAUUCCUAGUUGAAUUGAAUAAUUGAGAGCGAAACGUGUCAAGACUGACAAGAGUUCAGAAUAGACUCGUGAACGUGUCCUCUAAACCCUCCUGUCCCUCUUCCGAUCCUUGCUAAACCCCUUGUUCUGGUCGUAAUCAUCCAUUAGCGUAAACCUAUGCUUCUCUUGACUUUGAUCCCAAUAAACCAACCCAUAGAGUUGGUGGUAAUGUAAUUUAUAUAACUUUUUAAAUUAUUUUUAUUUAAAAAAUAUCAAAUUAAUUUUAAUGUGUUGGUAUUAAAAAAAAUUAAAAAACAUUAUAUUAAUAUAUUUUUAUUUAAAAAAUAUUUUUUAAAAAACCGUAUGUAGAAUUACUAAACACCCUUAAGCCAGUGGACAAAGACAAAAACGACAAAAUACAAAGGAAAAGGGAUAAAAGCAUAUAUUUGGAGAUGAUAAAAGGGCAUGAGAUCAAAGAGGAUAAGAUUUCCAGUGAUGGGACUGGAUGGUGAUGAAGGAUUUUUUGGACAAGAGCAUAGUAAUUAAUCCUUUACUAAAAUUUUUUAUUAUUUUAAUAUAUUUUUUAAUAAAAAUUAUUUUUAAAAAAUUAUUUCAAUGAUAAUUUUCUUUAUUGAUUAGUGAAUCUGGUUAGACUUAAGCCCUACGAGGAUCAAAUGUUGCGAGGCGAGCAACUCCAUUUUAUUUUCCAGUUCAGGAUAGUUUUCUGAAAUAAUAAUAAUAAAAAAAAGAGCUAUAACAUAAAAAUCAUCUGAGCAAAAAGCCAAGAAAAGUGGCCCAUGCUGCGUAAGGUUUAAGAAAGAAAAUAGUUUUGAUUGUUGACCGAGAAGAGGAGCACACGCUUAUGCUUUUUUAUGAACAGAGAGGUGGCUGCCCCAAUAUAUUCGGCCUGCCAACUCUUAUUUGUAUGGUCGUCUGUUUCUCCAUGUCUCAAUAUUUUUUUAUAAAAAAACCACCACUUCUCCAUAUUAUAUUAUAAGAUAUGAAAAGUUAACGUGUGAAACUUCGAAAAAGCUGUCAAGAAAAUGUAAACACAUGAAAAAUAUUUUUUAAAAAAAACCCAAAAAUCAUCUGAGCAAAAAGCCAAGAAAAGUGGCCCACGCUGCGUGAGUUUUUUAUUCAAGAACCUAGCUAGAGCUUAGCUUCAAGAGCGGCGAGGACUAAGCUAGGAAUGAUGCCUCUCACUCCUCCCCCGUCAAUGCUAAGGGUUGUUGCAAAGUAAAUAGGAAACUUCAUCCAUAGACCAAUCUUUUCUGAUCCAUAGACAAUGGAUCUGUUGGUUGAGAUGAGUCUCCAUCACAACCCAACAACAUUAGCUUAUCUGCUAUCCCCUUUAUGAGAAGAAGAUUUCGAAUCAGUCCAUUCAUUCCCAUCUGUAGGCAUCUUUCUCAAACAUCAAGGAGAAUUACUUCUGGAUUCUGAGUUGCCACUAAAAAACAAAAAACCCUUAAUGAACUAGUUCGUCUCCCAGUACUUAAAUUAGUUUCCUCAUUGUUUUUCACAAAUUUUUAAGAAAAAAAGAAAAACUAAUAUACUUGAGGUAUUAUAACAAACCUGUAAAUUACAUUAAUCUUAUAAAAAAACAUAAUAAAAAUAAAUAAAUUACAAAGUUGAAUUUUAAAUCAGCCCACUAAUAAAAAAAACAAAAAAAAAACAAAACACAUUGGAUUACUUAUUAUAAUUUACAAUGAAAUAGGUGUGAAUAAAUAGUACUUCUCCCAAGCCUCUUAGCUUUUCUUUUAAUGAAAAUUAAUAACCGUAUAAUAUCUUCCUUGUGGAUGCUCUAUCGUUGCUAAAUUAAAACAUCUUUCUUUUUUAUGUGAAACUUUUUUAAAAUAAAAAUAUUUUAAAAAAACAUUGUUAUUUUAAUUUUAUUUUUAAAAUAAAUACCAUCGUUUUAGUUUUUAUAAAUAAAUAAUAUGAUGUCGUUUUUUUUUACUCAGGUUAAUCAGUUAAUAUGUGAGUCAACCAGUACGUUUCUUAGCUAUUUAUUAGCAAUCUAAAUAUUUUUUUAUUUUUAAUAUUAAUAUAUCAAAAAAUAUUAAUUUAAUAUUUUUUUAAAUAAACAGAUUUUUAAAUGCACUCAAACAUAAUUAAGAGUACAAAAACAAAUUAUGUUUUGAUUGCGAACAGAAAAAUCUUGACAGUACCGUUGUUGUUUGGACUUUGAGAAAGAUAAAACAAAAGAGUUGGAAUAAUUGGAAAUCUGAACAAUUUGGGUACCCUUCACUGUAUUAGCCAUUCCUUUCCUUGCCUGCUCUCCUUUUUUUUUUUUUUUUUUUUUCUCUGGCGCAAUUGCCAACAAAUACCCUUUUUCAUUAUGUCUCCAUGAUACCCUUGCGUCAAAAACCUAAAUUUUAGGACUUUUUAGGCAGCCACGUCCAUGCUUUAGGAGUUUUUUUUUCGAAAUCCUUAUUAGUGGCUAGCCUUUUAAGAUACCUUUCCAACACGUCAAGAAUAACAGCAAAAUAUGAUACGUGAGUGGAAAGUUAUGAUUAAAAUAUUUAACUGCAUCCAAGCUAUUUCCAAAAAAAUAAAAUAUUAUUACUUUUAGUGUAUCCAAGCUAUUUAAGAAUAUAUCAAAGUAAAUAGAAUUUCAAUUCAAAAAUACACAUUAAUUUCUAUUAUUUGUAUUCACAUUUUAGCAUUUUAUUUCAAUAAUAGAGUAUUUAAGGGUGCUUAGAAGUUUAAUAUCAAUUAUUUUUCAAAAUAUUUUUUUUAUGAAUAUAUCAAAAUAAUAUUUCAUUAUUAUUUUUUUAAAAAUAUUUUUAAUAUCAACACAAUAAAAUAAUUUAAAAACACAAAAGAGUUAAAAAGAGACAUCUACCUUGUUUUAUCUGUUGGUACAUGGUAAGAGUCUAAGCAUAUUUAUUUAUUUAUUUAUUUUUAUUUUAAUAAUAGUCCUGUUAUUUCUACCGUCAAGAAAUCAAGAACGAUUCAAAAGAUUCUGGAGUCCAUGUUUAGAUAAAUUAGCAGAAAGGACAAAAAUCCUAUAAACUAAAAUCCUCAAUUCUUGCUCCACCUGGCUAAGAAAUGCAGCAUGCCCCCUUGGAAUUACACAUCAUCCAAAUUCUAGGGCAAAUAAUUGGUUGGAAUUGUUUUUUGAGAGUCAUCUCAAAAUUGAAAAAUAAAAUCAGAAAAUAGAUUUUCAACACAAUCAUGCUUUUUAUUUAUUAUAAAUAUAAAAUAAAGUUGAAGUGAAGUUGGGUCCAAUCCUUAAAUGGUCCAAACAUUAUUGUAAGAAUGCGACAGUCCAAUCUGAAAGGUUUUGGAUGCAAAACACAGGCUGCAACGCAGAUGGAGCAAGAAAUUCCACCCCAAGAAAAAUCCAAAUAUAAGUUAUUCCAACUUUCUUUCUAUCCCAAGAAAUCGAGAAUACUAGUUUCAUUCAUCAAAAUUAUAAAUCCUAUAUUUAGAUAACAAAAAUCCUAGUGCAAAAUACCUAUAAACUAUAUUAUAAGAUAUAAAAAACUAACGUGUGGAGUCUGUGGACCGACCCAAUGUUCAAACUUUGAAGAAGCUGCCAAGAAAAUAUAAACACAUGAUUAGAGAAAGAAUAGCAUAUGGUCGUCUGUUUCUCCAUGUCUCAAUAUUUUGUUAUAAAAAAACCACCACUUCUCCAUAUUAUAUUAUAAGAUAUGAAAAGUUAACGUGUGCACCCACCCCAAUGUUGAAACUUCGAAGAAGCUGCCAAGAAAAUGUAAACACAUGAAAAAUAUUUUUUAGAAAAAACCCAAAAAUCAUCUGAGCAAAAAGCCAAGAAAAGUGGCCCACGCUGCGUAAGUUUUUUAUUCAAGAACCUAGCUAGAGCUUAGCUUCAAGAGCGGCAAGGACUAAGCUAGGAAUGAUGCCUCUCACUCCUCCCCCGUCAAUGCUAAGGGUUGUUGCAAAGUAAAUAGGAAACUUCAUCCAUAGACAAAUCUUUUCUGAUCGGGUUGUAGGAAUCACUGAAUCAGCUUGCAUCCCUUAACUUGGACAGGAACUCCCAGCUUCUGUAUGCCAAAAGUCUCGCUCAUACCAUCUAAAAGCAGAACCCAUUUGAUAAUAGAUAUUGGAGAAAAAUUAGAGUACACAAAUAGAAUGUAAAAUUUAGAAAACUGUUUUGAAUUAUGCUGGAGAGCAUGCCGGCGGCGAUGAGUUUGGAGCUUAGCCUGGUGUUCUCCGACGGUUUCAACUCAUGCAUUCAAUUCCAAGCAAUAGCUGUGAUUUCGUAAUCUGUAUUUUGAGCGACUUUUUGGAGAGGGAGGGGCAGCGCGGGAACGAAAAGGUAGCAGUCUCAAGCCUCGCCAAUAGCCCAAGAGUAAAAAUAACAUGCUCCUAGCCCAAGCCCACCAACAUCACCCCCAACAGAUUGGUAAAAUGCUCACAAGUCACAACCAUUUUGAAAAAAAAAAAAUAAAAAAUCAUAUAUAUAUUUUUUUGCUUUAGGAUCAUUUGAUGUCAAAAAUAAAAAAAAUAUUAAAAAACUUAAAAGCUAGGUAUUAUCAAAAUGUGAAAGGGGCAAAAGCUAGCUUGGAAAUUCUGAGAUUAUCUUAGAAAUUGCUAUUAAAUAUUAUGGCAGAAGGUAUACUUCGACGCCACCAUUGAAGUAACACUGAUCUAAAAACAUUAUAUGCCACACCGCAAACUAAUAACAAUGGUAUACUAGAAAGUGAAAAUAAAUCGAUAUUAAUCAUGAAAUAAAUCGUUAGCAGAAACCAAAAAUAAAUGAAUAAAUUGUUCAUACUACUCCAUCUUAUUGAUGGGAAUGAAUUCUGACCUGCAGGACUCCUGCUAAAAUUAGCUGAUAAAUUAUCAUGAAAAAACUUAAUAAAGUCAGAAAAAAAAAAGAUCAUGAAAUGCUUCUUAAAUUAAAUAAAAUGGAGAAGAAAACCCAAGUAAUAAAUGUUCAAUUCACUUUCAAGUUAAAAAUAAAGAAUGAAAGCAUUUCUAUUCAAUAAUACUUCUUGCUCACAAAUAAGCUGGCAACAAUUAUAUGAGAAUCAAAUCUCUCCAAUUACAUGGUCGUAUAACUUCAAGAUUCCUAGGUCAACUCUAUUCAACUGUGCAGGUGGACAACAAAUUUACAAUCCAAGAAAAAAAAUUAGAAAGCAUCCCUCAAACAGGUUGGAAAAGAUACUAGAGGCAAAAGAUUAUAAGCAAUAGUAGCAGAGAAUAUAAAAAGCAUUAUUGUAGCAGAAAAAUGUGAUAUAAUUACCAGAAAAGCUCAUCCUAACUUCCCUGGCUAGUGCUUACGAUGGCAGUUUCAGGUUUAGAAACCAAAACUCAUCCAACAAAAAAAUGUAUGUUCAGUUCAUACUCUCUCAGAGGCAUUUAAUAUAGAAUCUUAUCCUUCCUCAUUUGAUCUUCUCAAUGCUGUGGUGGAAGAAUACUUCUGACAUGUUUACGAUGUUUGUUGUGAUUUGAAUUGACCAGAAUUCAAGAAUGUUCGAAGAGAUGAAUUCAUUGGCGAUGAAAUACCUUACUUUUAUUGAUUUAAUUUUCUAUUUCCUGUAUUCUGCUAUGGAAAUGAAUUAAUCUUCAUUGUGAAAAUGUUCCUAAAUUCUUACAUUUUUAUUAACAAUAAGAGAUGAAGAGGAGGCGAAGGUAUAAUGCAACCAACAAAUGAUACAGAAUAAGCUCAGACCAAGAGAACAAUCGACGCAAUUGUCCCUUCCACUUUUUGUCUCUCUUCCUUGAACUCAUAACUUAAGCAUCCAUCCCUUUUACUCAGACAAAACCACCGGUCACUAGUAAAAAACUUCAUUUUGAUAUAUAUAUUUUUAAAAUUGAUAGAAAAAACCACUUUAUAUUGUUCAUAAAGACGGAAAAAACUUAAAAAUACAAAUUAAAAAAUCUUGAGGAAUUCAUUAACCAAUCCUUUUAGUUUUUUUUAUGUUUUCUAUAAAGUCAGAAAAAAGUUAAAAAUACAGAUUAAAAAAUCCUGAAGAAUAUAGAAAAAUAGGAUGAAUUUUUUGUACGAGGAAAAUAGAUAGAGGUAUGGAAUUUUAUUCUAAAUAUAUCCUUAUAAAAAUUUCAAAAUUCCAAGUCAUGUAAUUCGAUUAUCAUUCAUUUUUUAAAUUGUAUUCUCUCUUUUGUUUUUCUUGUAUAUAGAUUUUAAAAGAAUAAUUUAUUGCUAGUUAAUGAUAUAAGAUGAUUUGUACUAAUGAAUAGAUCUAUUACUUUAUUUGGUUACUUCAAUGAUAAAUCAAUAUCAAUAUAGUGUUUGUUUUUGUAUUUUUUGGAUUUUUAUCUUGGAGAAACUCAAUAGGAUGAAAAUAUAGUAUUAAUCAAACUUCAAAUUAUAAUUAUUUAUCUAUCGAGUUAAAAAAAAUAUAUGACAAUUCAAUAGUCUUAAAAAGAUAAUGAAAUAAAUAAAUAAAUGAAAAAUGUUAUUUAUGUAAUUCUAAGAACACAAUAUAAAAAAGAAAUAUUUCAUAUUAAUAAACGCUCUUUCUAUGAAUUCAUGUUAGGCUUCGAUUUUUCUUUGAAAUAUGGAAUUGGCAAUACAAUUUCAAACCGACCCAAAUCCAACCAUUGAGCAUCUUUAAUCCAAAAGCAUCAUGCAAGUAAUUUUAAUAUUAAUUAAUAAAAAUAUCCUUGUUGAUUUAAAGGACUAUUUUCAUCAUUCAUAAAAAAAAAAAUUAAAAAGAAAAAUAUUCAAUUUUUUUGAAAAACGUGUGCUUUAACAAUGUUUUUAAAUAUUAAAUAUGUGAUUAAUUAAGAGCAGGUGAUUGCUUUUGUUUUUAGUUGUUUUUCAAAAAAAGAUAAAUAGAUUUUUUUAAUGUUUUUUUAUAAUUUAAAUAUAUUGAUAUUAAAGAUAAAAUAAAUAAAUUUAAAUAAAUAAAAAACAAUUAUUGAACAUGAAGCGAAUCUGAUUACGUAACAAUUACUAAUAGGGAAAAAAUUAGGAGACAAAUUAAAGGUUUUCAAUCGUUGCCGUUACCAAUUUGUUGCUGAUUAGAGGCACACGGAGUCAAAGACUCCAUCCUUGCUUUUAAUGAACAAAACCUAGUGCUAGUUUUGGUGGCUGGUGUUUUUCCGUGCUGGAUUAAUUUUUUAAAAAUAUUAAACCAGUAAAUUAAUAUACUUGAGUUAUUAUAAUAAACCUGUAAAUUACAUUAAUUUUAUAAAAAAAUAUAAUAAAAAUAAAUAAAUUACAAAGUUGCCCACAAAUGAAAUAAACAAAAAAAAAACACAUUGAGUUACUUAUUAUAAUUUACAAUGAAAUAAGUGUGAAUAAAUAGUAGUUCUCUCAAGUUUCUUAGCUAUUCUUUUAAUGAAAAUUAAUAACCGUAUAAUAACUUCUUGUGGAUGCUCUGCUAAAUUAAAACAUUUUUUAUUUAUUUACAACUAUGUGAAAAAAUUUUAAAAUAAAAAAUUUUAAAAGAUAAUAUUUUAAAAAACAUUAUUAUUUUAGUUUUUUUUUUUUAAAAAUACCAUCGUUUUAAUUUUUAUAAAUAAAUAAUAUGAUGUGGUUUUGUUUUUUACCCAGGUUAAUCAUUUAAUAUGUGAGUCAACCAAUGCGUCUCUUAGCUAUUCGUUAGUAAUUAAAAAAUAUAUAUAUUUUUUAAUAUUAAUAUAUCAAAAAAUAUUAAAUAAAUAUUUUUUUUAAAUAAAUAGAUUUUUAAAUGUACUCAAACAUAAUUCUAAGUACAAAAAUAAAUUAUAUUUUGAUUGCAAGCAUAACAAUCUUGGCUGUGCCGUUGUUGUUUGGACUUUGAGAAUGAUAAAACAAAAGAGUUGGAAUAAUUGGAAAUCUGAACAAUUUGGGUACCCUUCACUGUAUUAGCCAUUCCUUUCCUUGCCUGCUCUCCUUCUUUUCUUUUCUUUUUUCUUUUUUUUUUCUCUUAAUUUUCAAGAGAGCCUUAACCAUUCCUUCAUGCAAGUGUACGCUUUGCCAAACAAUCCUUUAGGAAAAUGGGUCGCCCUCCCUCCGACGACUUGCCAUAACAGAGAUUAAUUAUUUUAUUAAAAUAAUAUCAUUUUGUUUUUUUAGUAAUCCAAUUAGAUAUGAACUAGGUUAGUUUAAUUGAUCGAUUAAAUUCCACCCAAUCAAUAUCUUAUUUAGUUUAAUUACAAAUCCAGUCCAAGUUAAAUUUAAAAUUUAAAAUUUAAAAUUUUUAAAAUAAACACGGUUUAACAAUUAUUUUCUUAUCUUUAACUAAACUUUAAAGUAUGUAAACUUUCACACUCGGUGUGUGUAUAUUAUUCAACCAAAUAAUUGCUUGUGUCAUAUAUGUGUAGAGCUUUCUAGUAUUAAAAAUCUUAGAUUAUCAAAUAAUUAAACUUUUUAUCCAAACCAAUAAAUUUUAUGUGUCUAUUUUAAAUUUUGGUUUUAAAAAGAAAAUCAAAAUAAUAAAUCAAACAAUACCUGUAAAUCUUUUAUAUUACAGAUUAGCUAUAACCAGUGCACCCAUUUAUCAUUCUUAAGGUCAAUAUUUGGAAAUAAAUAAAUAAAUAAAUAAAAACUACGUACCAAUAUUUAAUUUAAGUAACCUCAAAGACUGCUAAUUUAGCUUUUUGAUAUUAAAAGGGCGUAUGUUGUUACUCUCUGCCUAGUGAUGAGACAAAUAUCAGGUCUUCUAUCUACACAAUAGUUAGAUGUGGAAAGGGUUAGAGGGAAUUUUUUUUUUUAAAAAAAGAAGAAGAAGCAAAACACCUUGAAUUACGUACUAUUUUUAUAUAGUGAUUCUCCAAGUCUCUUAGCUUUUCUUGUAAUGAAAAUUAAUAACCUUAUAAUAUCUUCCUUGUGGAUGCUUUAUCGUUGCUAAAUUAAAAUAUCUUUUUUCAUUUACAACUAUGUGAAACUUUUUAUUUAAAAAUAAAAAUAUCAAAAAAGAUAAUGUUUUUAAAAAAUAUUAAUUGUUAUUUUAGUUUUUUUAAAAUAAAUACCAUCAUUUUAGUUUUUAUAAAUAAAUAAUAUGAUGUGGUUUUGUUUUUUACUUUGGAAUACGUCUCUUAACUAUCUGUAAGCUUCCUAUUCGUUUUUAGUAAUUAAAAUAUAUAUAUAUUUUUUUUAAUAUUAAUAUAUCAAAAAAUAUUUUUUUAAUAUUUUUUUAAAACAAAAAGAUUUUUAAAUGCACUCAAAUAUAAUUCUGAGUACAAAAACAAAUAUAUAUUUUGAUUGCGGGCAUAGCAAUCUUGGCAGUGAUAAAACAAAAGAGUUAGAAUAAAUGGAAAUCUGAACAAUUUGGCUACCCAUCACUGUAUUAAUCAGCCAUUCCUUUCCUUGCAUGUUCUCCUUUUUCUUUCUUUCUAUCUUUUUUUUUUUUUUUUCUUUGGAGGCAGCCCUCCUUUUUCAUCACGUCUCCAUGAUCCCACACGUUUUCAUCAAAAACCUAAAUUAUAGGACUUCUUAGGCAGCCACGUACAUGCUUUAAGAGUUCUUUUUUCAAAAUCCUCAUUAGAGGCUAAAUUAAAACAAAUUAAAAUAAUUGUGAUUAAAAUAAUUAAAAUAAUUUAAAAAUAUAAAAAAUUAUUUAAAAAAAAUUAAAAUAUUUAAAAACACAACAUUAUGAAACAAGAUAUCAUGUCAAGAAUCACAACAAUCCAACAUAUGAGUGGAAAGCUAUGAUUAAAAUAAUAGAGUGCAUCUUCACUUUUAAAAUGAUUUUGACGAUGAUUUAUAAUAGUGAAUAGAUCUAUUAUUUUAUUAGGAUACUUUAAUGAUAAAUCAAUAUAGUUUUUUUUUUUUUGGAUUUUCAUCUUGGAGAAACUCAAUAGGAUGAAAAUAUAAUAUUAAUCAAACUUCAAAUUAUAAUUAUUUAUCUAUCGAAUAAGAAUAUCCUUGUUGAUUUAAAGGACUAUUUUCAUAUAAAAAAUAAUUAUGUUUUGCACCUGAUUUUUAACAAAAAUGAUUGAAAAAAUGAUAUAUUAUUGAAUAUGAGCAAAUUUAAGAUUACAAAAAUGAUUAGUAUUUUUACAGAUGCAUAGAAUUGAUAAAUGAUGCAACAAAGAAGGAUACGUAUUAUUACAUUUAACGGAGUAAUUAACCAUUCUACAUAUUAAUUAUUUCAAGAAAAAAAGGUCCUUUGGACAAUACCUUGGAAAUUCAAUUCAAAAAUUCCCUUUAAUUUCUAUUUUUUUUUAAUCAUUUUAGCAUUUUAUCCCAAUGAUAGAACAUUUAGAAUGCGCAUGGAACGCCAUCAAGCUUUAGCUUCAAACAACCAGAGGGAGCUUCAGUGCAGUAGAAAACUUCAACAUCUACUGUGAAGCUUGAUUUGCUAUCCAAUCUGCACACCAGUUUUUAUCCCACUGCAGUAGAACUUUUUAUCUUUUUCCAAGUUUUUUUUUGGGUGACUUUUUUUCUUUCAUCUCAAAUUAACUUGUGAAUAAAAAUAAAUAAAUAAAAUAUAAAAUACAAUUUUAAACCAAAAUAAAAAAUAUAAGAUGCAAAAAAUUAUAGAGAUCGAAAUUUUAAAAAUCACGCCUAUGUUUUUUUUCUAGUUUUAGUAUUAAAUUUGUUCGUAUAAGUUUUAUUUAUUUUUAAUCAAUUAAAUUGAACAAAAUCUUGUCAAGUCAAACAUAAACUCUUUAUUGAAUCGUCUUUUCUUUUUGGAUAAUAAGAGCUUCAUAGAAAGCUUAUUAAAAUAAAUUAUUAAAUGAAAUUAAAAAUAAAAAUGCUUUUAAAAAAAAAACAAAACAAAACAGAGAGACAUCUACGUGUUUUCUCUAUUGGUACAUGAUAAAAGUCUGAAAAGAUUUAUUAUUAUUAUUAUUAUUUUAAUUUUAAUAAUAGUACUGUUAUUUCUACCGCCAAGAAAUCAAGAAAGCUAGCUAAUUUUAAUACAAUGCUGGAGUUCUUAACUUCGGGAGAAUGAAUUCCGUGAUGGAAUUGGAGGUGCUGCUUUCUAUUAUGCACUGAUCAUGAGAUGUGGAAGAGAAUGUUACAGUUGCUAUCUCUUUUACAUAAUAUUAUUUAUUAGUAAGGUCGCCUCAAUAAUAAUUAAUUAACGUAUUGUUUGAUAUAUUAUAAGAUAUAUAAAGUUAACGUGUGGACCCGCCCCAAUGUUGAAACUUGGAAGAAGCUACCAAGAAAAUGUAAACAAAUGAAAUUUUCUAAAAAGAAUAGCAUAAUUAAAAAUAUAUUUUUUAUUUAAAAAUAUAUUAAAAUUAUUUUUUUUAUCAACACAUCAAAAUAAUUUUAAAAUAUUAAAAAAUUAUUUUUUAAAAAAUCAAAUUAAAAAAAAAACACAUUAUGACUGUAAAGAUAAACCAGUCAAUAUUCUCAAGGUAGCAAUUACUAAUUGGGAUAAAAAGAAAUUAAAAGACAAAUUAAAGGUUUUGAGUCAACGCCAUUACCAAUAUUCGCUUGCAGGGUGUAUGGUAGUUCCUAUGCUUCUGCCUUUGAGCGUGUAUAUUAGAGCAGAGUGAUUUUAUUUAACCAUGAAAAUUUUGUGAGACAAAUUAUAGUGAAUGUUUUUCUAUUUUACCAAUAUACCCAAGGUGUUUAUAACAGAGUGAUGCUACAUGCUGAGGUGGAUAUUAGCAACAGAGGAAAGCAUACAAAAGUAACAAAAAAAAAACAUCAAAUGAAAGAAAAAAAACAACCUUUAGAAACACGCGUCUUUGGAUUAACCAAUUCUUUUAGUUUAUUUUUUAUGUUGUUCAUAAAGACAGAAAAAACUUUAAAAUACAAAUUAAAAAAUCUUGAGGAAUUGAUUAACCAAUCCUGUUAGUUUUUUUUCUUUUCUAUGAAGACAGAAAAAACUUAAAAACACAGAUUAAAAUAAAGAUUUAAUAGAGAAUGAAAUUUAAUUUUAAAUGCAAAUUAAAAUAAAGCAGAGUGACUAAUGGAGAAAGUACUACUGGAAUUCUACAAAGAGUACAGCGUCGGGAAUCCUUGCACACGUUUGGUAUUUUAAUUAUUCUUAUUUCGUUUAAUAACUCAAUUGGAAGUUCAAUUCCCAGAAUUUCUGCUUUUGAAAAAUCAUUCAUCACUUUUAAAUAACGCAAAUGAUUAUUAAGAAAAUUCAACGACAACAAUAUACUCAAUAGCAAUAUUACAGUAAAGAAAUCAAAUCAAUACAGAUAAAUAAAUGAUCCAAAUAUAAUCAAAGAAUUAGUCCAUUUAAUAGAAAAAACAUUACUGAAUCCAUAAACUACAUAAUUCCCUUUUCUUUUUUCUUUUUUCUUCUUCUUCUCUGGUGCAUUUCCCACACGAAAUACUCAUUUCAAAUUAGGCACCCCCUUUUUCUAAAGGAGGCCCCCAAUUUUCAACCUCGUUUUCCAUCACGUCUCCAUGAUCCCCGUUGUGUCACAAACAAAUUUUCUAAAUUUUAGGCUUUAGGAGUUCCUUUUUUGAAAUCCUCAUUAGAUGCUAAUAUCUAGCCCUUCAAGAUACCUUUCCAACGCAUCAAGAAUCACAGCAAUCUUAUAUGUGAGUGGAAAGUUAUGAUUAAAAUACUAAAGUGUGUGGAGGCUGUUUCCAAAAAAAAAAAGAACAUUACUACUACUUUAAGUGUAUCUUUUGAUGUUUCCGGUUUAUAUUGAUAUAUUAUUCAUGUGAAUAAUAUAAGAAAAUUGCACUUAAAAAAUAAUGAACAAUUUUUUUUUUUAGUAUGUUAAUUUUUUCAAUAUUUUUUUUUAAAAAACACUAGUUUAGAGUGAAUUAAAUUCACUCGCAUUGUAACAUCAAUUUUAUACCUGAUAAUAUUUUAUCUAAUUUUAUUACAUGCUCAAAAAAUUAUGAAAACUGUAGUUCUUGUCGGAUGUAUUUCGUACAUAAUGGAAUUGUAGAUAGUUUCAUAGAAUAAUAAAAAAUAUUUUAUAUAAAGUAUGAUUUAUUUCAUGAUUUAAUAGCAAUAGUUAAAUCUACAAUAUUUAAAUUAAAAAUCAUCAAUAUUAAUAUAUAUUUUUUAAAAUUAUUUUAUAACCUCAAUUUCAAAAGCAUUCUUAACCAAACACAUUAAAUUACUUUUUUUUCAACUUCAAUUUCAAUCAUAUUUUUAACCAAACACCUAUUUUUUCAAACAAAUCUCAACUAAAAAUAUUUUUUUUCAAAUCACAACCAUAAUAUGUAUCGCAAUACUAAACACACUACAGGUAAUAAACUAGCCCAACAAAUCAUACCUAGGGAAGCAAAAGCCAGAAACAAGCUACCUCGAUUCUUGCUCCACCGGGGUAAGAAAUGCAGCAUGCCCACUUGGAAUUAUAGAGCGUCCAAAUUCCAUGGCAAAUAAUUGGUUGGAAUUGUUUUCUGAGGGGUCAUUUCAAAAUCUGAAAAUAAAAACAGAAAAUAGAUCCAGCAAAUGAUUCCAAAUAUCUUCUAAAAACAACGAUGAAAUAUGUUUUUUUAUUUACCGUAAGGAAAGAUAUUAAUGAAAUUUUUUUAUAAAAAAAAUCAAUUUAAAAAAUAUAUAACAAGUCAAAAUCUAUACUUAAAAUCUUUCUCGUAUUAAAUUCUUAAUUCAAUCAAAUAAAAUAUUAAUUUAAUAAAACAUAGUUAAGUUUUUGAUAGUUGAAUAUUUAGUAUAACGGUGACGUACUACUUAUUAUUUCUAUUUUAGCAUUUUAGCAUUUCAUACUCAUCAAAACCAUUGGAACACAAUCAAGCUUUAUCUUCAAACAACCAGGGAGAUUUUAUAGGGAUAAAAUUUUAAAAAUCACGUCUAUGCUACUUUCUAGUUUUAAUAUUAAAUUUAAUAUUUAAAAAAUGUGUUUAUGAAUAUGGCAGUUUCAGGUUUAGAAACCAAAACUGCCAUAUUCAUACUCUUUUAGACAUUUUAAAAAUAUGUAUAGAAGAAUACUUUCACUGAUGAGUUAUAAUAUUAGGUUACUUUAAUGAUAAAUCAAUAUAGUAUUUUUUUUUUUUUUUUUGGAUUUUCAUCUUGGAGAAAUUCAAUAGGAUGAAAAUAUAAUAUUAAUCAAACUUUAAAUUAUAAUUGUUUAUCUAUCGAGUUAAAAAAAAUAUGACAAUUCAGUAGUCUUUAAUGAAAAAGAAAAAAAAGAGGUUAUUUAUGUAAUUGUAAGCACGCUAUAUUAUAUUACUUUACAAAGGGACCAAGGACACCCUUUGCAUUAGGAUGCUCCCACUGCACUAUUGUCUCCCACUGCACUAUGGCUGGCCAUUUUCAAGCAACGAAAGACAAAUUGGCAUCCUCUUCAGCUUCUCACAACCCAUUACAGUAAUAUCUUCAAUAGAAUUGCAAAUCAGUUUUGCACUGCAAAUGCUUUUCAGUUCUGGUAAGUCUACCAAUUCCAGAGUUAUUAACUUUGGGAGAAUGACUUCCGUGAUGGUAUUGGAGGUGCUGCUUUCUUCAUCUGUUGUUCCUAUUAUCUCCUCCAUUUUCUCACAAUCUUCAACUUCAAUCCUUUCCAGGUUUACGAGGUUUGGCAGCAACACAAGCGGGAACAGCUUCUUCAUACUUUUACAGGUAUAACAAGAAAACUCUUUAAGACCAGAAAACGUACCGUUACAUGAUGGCAAUCGUGGUGGAGCAGAGCAGAACCAAGAAGAUGAAACCAAGCUCUCCAUGCUAUUGCAAUCCCCAAUGUUGAUGUGCUCCAGUUCAGUUGCAUUCUCUAAUGACAAAACAUCACAUAAACUUCUUGCAUCGAUGCAUUGACAAAUCAGUCCUUGAAUGCCAUUUAAGAACUUGACCUGAAAAUCUCUAUCUCCGUUGAUACUCAAAUUACCCAACCCAACUGUUUUACUUGGAUAAUCUUCAAUGCAUUCCUCUAAAAAUCUACCCACCUCUCCUACUAAAAUCUUGCAUGUGCUUAAUGAUAGGAUCCCAUCCCGAGAUCUGAGAUACUCCACGAAGUCAGAAAAACCUUCGAAAUGGCACUCCAAAGUUUCCAAAUUUCUCAAGGAUACUACUUCCUCUACUUUAACUGUUAUCGGAGCAUCAUCUUGCGGCAUAAAAUCUUCUAGUACAAAGACUUGCAGGUGAGAGAGUUUUGGUAAUAUCCCACUAGGAAACUCCUUUUCACCACAUCCAUUCAUUCUAAGAUACAUCAGGUUGGUUAGGCAUUCCAUUCCUUGCGGCAUCGUUUCAAGUCGAGUACCAGAGAGAUCCAACCUCUUCAGUGCCCUGAGCUUCUUUAAUGAUGGAACAUAUCUUAACUUGUCACACUCACGCGGAGCAAUAACGCAGUGAGACUCACCAAAUCAGAGACAGAGUCUGGCAAGUUUUCAAUACCUGUCCAAGACAGAUCGAGGACCUUGAGCCCAUGCAAUUGCUUGAAAAAUGAAUCCGCAACAAAUCCCAAGAACCGAUUUUCACAUAGCAAUAGAGUUGAUAGAUAGGGACACCUAGGUGAAUGGCUGGAAGGAAUUUCUUCGAUCUUGUUUGCAUUAGUGAAACUCUCGUCAGAUUCUCCGUCCACUCCUCUGCAUCUGGCAACU
rnacentral:lncRNA from 1 species